rnacentral:rRNA from 1 species
AGUAAUGCUUGGGAAUCUGGCUUAUGGAGGGGGAUAACUACGGGGAACUGUAGCUAAUACCGCGUAGUGUCGAGAGACGAAAGUGCGGGACCGCAAGGCCGCAUGCCAUGAGAUGAGCCCAAGUGGGAUUAGGUAGUUGGUGGGGUAAAGGCCUACCAAGCCUGCGAUCUCUAGCUGGUCUGAGAGGAUGGCCAGCCACACUGGAACUGAGACACGGUCCAG